CUAUGGCUUUGGACUGUGAGGUGACUCUUGGUGUGCGAUGGCUUUUCAGCAAGGUCCUCCUCACAGUAGCUAUA
ensembl:miRNA Mir679 microRNA 679